UACGAAGGGGGCUAGCGUUGUUCGGAUUUACUGGGCGUAAAGCGCACGUAGGCGGACUGUUAAGUCAGGGGUGAAAUCCCAGAGCUCAACUCUGGAACUGCCUUUGAUACUGGCAAUCUCGAGUCCGGAAGAGGUGAGUGGAACUCCUAGUGUAGAGGUGGAAUUCGUAGAUAUUAGGAAGAACACCAGUGGCGAAGGCGGCUCACUGGUCCGGAACUGACGCUGAGGUGCGAAAGCGUGGGGAGCAAACAGG
rnacentral:rRNA from 1 species